UACGGAGGGUGCAAGCGUUAUCCGGAUUUACUGGGUUUAAAGGGUGCGGAGGCGGUUUGAUAAGUCAGUGGUGAAAGCCCAGAGCUCAACUCUGGAAUUGCCUUUGAUACUGUCAGGCUUGAGUAUGGGUGAAGUAGGCGGGGUGUGGCAUGUAGCGGUGAAAUGCUUAGAUAUGCUACAGAACACCGAUUGCGAAGGCAGCUUGCUAAGCAUUUCCUGACGCUGAGGCACGACAGCGUGGGGAGCGAACAGG
rnacentral:rRNA from 1 species